CCCUUAGAUGUUCUGGGCCGCACACGCGCUACACUGAAGGAGGCAGCGUGUACUCCUGGAUCGAAAGAUUUGGGUAACCCGCGAAUCUCCUUCGUGCUAGGGAUUGAGGUUUGCAAUUAUCCUUCAUGAACGAGGAAUUCCCAGUAAGUGCAAGUCAUAAGCUUGCGCUGACUACGUCCCUGCCCUUUGUACACACCGCCCGUCGCUACUACCGAUUGAAUGAUUUAGUGAGGACUUCGGACUGGGACCGAUGCGGCCUUCGGGCUGCGUCGGUAUUCUGGAAAGAUGUCCAAACUGUAUCAUUUAGAGGAAGUAAAANUCGUAACA
rnacentral:rRNA from 1 species